rnacentral:rRNA from 1 species
UACAGAGGUGGCAAGCGUUGUUCGGAAUUACUGGGCGUAAAGGGCGCGUAGGCGGCUUGGUCAGUCCCGUGUGAAAUCCCUCGGCUCAACUGAGGAACUGCACGGGAAACUGCCUGGCUUGAGUUCGGGAGAGGGAAGCGGAAUUCCGGGUGUAGCGGUGAAAUGCGUAGAUAUCAGGAGGAACACCAAUUGCGAAGGCAGCUCGCUGGAACGUAACUGACGCUGAGACGCGAAAGCGUGGGGAGCAAACAGG